GAAAUCUCCAAAAGGAUCUCCGCUACUAAAGCAGAUAAGGAAAGGGAGAUGAAGAAAAAGAAGAAAAAGGGGAAGAAAAACGCUGCAACUAUGGGUAAUUUAUCCCGACUUUACCCUACUUUUUAAACCAUGGUAUGAGAUAGGCUGGUCUCCUAAUAUUUCCUUAAUCGAAGGGAGGAAAACCCUAAUUUUGUCUCUCCCAAGAGAUGAAAGGAAGGGAAAAAUGGUGUUUUACUUCAAAGCCCGGGCAGAAGCUGGCGAUUACAAUAUGGCUUCAUCGAAGAUAUAUGUUCAUUGGCAGGGAAGAGGAAAGUAAAGUUGUAUAAAUCUUGGAGCAAUGCAAUUUAGCU